rnacentral:rRNA from 1 species
UAUGACUCUUGGCAAUGGAUAUCUUGGCUCUUGUAUUGAUGAAGAGCGCAGUGAAAUGCGAUAUGUGGUGUGAAUUGCAGAAUUCCAUGAACCAUCAAGUUUUUGAACGCAAGUUGCGCCUGAGGCCAACUGGCCAAGGGCACGUCCGCCUGGGCGUUAUGC